UCAUUCAACACUUGGAUACAUUGUAAGUUACAAUUUCAAAUUUUUAUGAAGUUCUACAUGAAAUUCCGUUAUAAAGUUAACCAUUUUGCAAUUUUAAAUCAAUUAUUAAAUAAUGGAAAAGUUUCAUCGUCCAAAAACCCCAAAUUGGCAGGUGCAAUAAUUGAAAUAAUAAAAUUAAUAAACUAAUUAAUUUACUAACUGCGCAUUAAGAGCUUAAACAAAUGGAAAUGCUAAGAAAAACCAAAUAUAUUAUAUUUGAAAAUGACAUCGUUAACGUCCAAAAGUGUCAGUGGUGAGACAAUGGAAAGCAAGCUAGAAGGAAAUCCAAGUUGCUCCUCGUCUUCGGUUGUCAAUUGCAAAAUAUUUUCCAAGGACACAUUGUCAGGACCCCAAGCCAAUGCUAAUUAAUAAACUUUACUCCGAACCGGAGAGAAGCACUUGGAAACUGUUGCAAACUGUUUCUGUUCGAACGGAGAGUGGUGUUGCCUUGCACGAGUGGCCUCAAUUAAUAGCAUGGAUCUAUCUCCACUGACGUCAAACCGGAGGAAGUGGCUCUAUUGAGUAAGGACCAGAGGACUGGUGGCGCUAAAUCCCAAACAAAUUAUCGUAGACACGUUUUGGUGUGCAAACAAGAUGCCGGGACAUACACAUCCCGGGAUUCAGCUAUUAAAUUCUGAUACUAGGGUGAAUUUCAAGUAAUUUUACUAAUUCUGGGAACCGCUUUAAGAACAAUUACCCGAGGAUAUCGUGGAAGAGUGCACUCGAAAAAUAGGGAAACAAUAUUGUUUCUUAUAAAAGCAAAUGGAAAGUUUAUCAUAUUUAGCAAUAAAUAUUAAAUAAUUUUUAAAUGACUCUCUAUUUAUCCAAAAAUAUGGAUUUACAUUUACAUUUAUUACAUUUAUAUAGAAGUUUUUCUUCAGUGUAAAAGAUGGCAGGCUUUGGGAUCUCAAAAGCCAAACCGGAGACUGAGAUUCUGCCCGAGAUGGGUUCAAGCUCAAUGCGCCAUGUCCAUGGCCAAGGCUAACACGGUUUAUUGUUUUGGCCACUGCAAUUGGCCGAAAUAUUUCGAGUUAUUUUUGGCUCUCGACUUGUGGCGCAGCUAAUCUUGAGUUGUCUGCUUUUGGGGGAUUCCGACUUUUGUUUAGUUUUCGUCGCAGAAAAAAAUAAAUAAAGGAGAAUAAAGGGUGGGCUGGCUCCGCUUCAAGUACAUUGAGUACAUCGAGGCCAUAAAGCAAACACUUUUAGUUUGUUGAACUGUGACCGGAGGUCGGGGCUUCUCUAAUUCGCUGUCAAAAAGUGCUGGCCCCAAAAAUGUUGAAAUGCCAGUGCCAGCUGUUGGAUUUUAAACUGCCCUGGGUCCCCACUACCACUUGUUAUUUUAAUUUGCUGAAUUGUUCUGUGGCCGAGGACAGAUGCUUUAGAUAUUACAGCAACAGUUUAGCUUUAUGCUUGCCACUUUGGGUUGCGUCCUCUGCACAUCAAAGAUAACAAGUUCUCAACCACAUUUUUCACUUGUGGGCCACCGAUUCGAAUUUAAUUAAAUUUCUAGCCUCGACCGGGUGACCAUGCAGCAUAUAAAGUAAAAAUCGGACAAAAAUCCGACACAAAAUAAUAUUUAUUUGGCAUUUCUCGAGCAAGGCAAGAGUUGACCUGACUCCCUGUCAAUGGCAACAAAAAAAUCAAUUGGGUUCAUCGAAACAUCCAGUCAAGAAUUGAGGAGCCUGAGGGUGAGGGGGCACGAACGAUAAAUAAACACAUAAGCCGUCCAUGACGGUCCUUUGGACCGUGUUUACACAACUUUAAUUGAAGGCCCACACAAGGAUA